UGAGCAGGCAGAACGAGAUAAGGCUGUGACAUGCUCCUAAGCUGCACCAGACAGGGUAUUUUACACCAAAUAUCUGGAGCAGACAUGAAUCAAAAGAACUUUCAGACAUAAAGGAGAAAAGAUUGACAAUAUCUGCUGGUUUGAGGUGCUGAGAGAGAGGCUGUCAUCGUUUACUGUCAGCUACACAAGGUCUCUAUGGCCCUCUGCAGCACUCACCUCAUCCUCAGCUUCCACCAGGAGAAGUGUCAGAUUGAUGGGAAGCCCUGCAUGAGCAAGGUGCAUCUCCAUGGAAAUCCACUGUGAUGAAAGAAUCUGCCACAGGAGAUGGAGAACAGAACAGCUGGGGCUCAGUGACACUGAGUGACACAGCUGAUGAAAUGGCAGCACUGGCCACAAGCACUUGGAGACAGACUGUAUUGCUGAAGGCUUCUCUGGUACCAACCAUGCCAGCAAGGGCCUGAAGUUAUUUUCUGCAAACAUGGGAAAAGUGAAUCAAAUUUCCAGCACUGGACAAUGAACAUUUCAGCUCAAAGUUAGCAGCACUGUAAACAAGCCAGGUCAGGCCCAGGAGCUCUCCUGAGGAUGGAGUCCAAGCUUUGAGCAGUGCUCCAGGACACUCAACCAGGCAAAGGUGCUGGUUAUUUUAGAGAGGAG